GAACAAGAUGAGGAGGUUUGCUUCCCAGCCAUUUAGAACUGGACUCUUGAAUGUAUCAGCAAAGUGACUGUACCAGGGGACCAAAGGACUCGGAGAGCCUCCGCGA